AAUCACAUUAUUCGUUAAAUCAAUUAAAGGUUUAAUUAAAAUUCCUUUUCGUUGCGAAGUUAUGUCAUUGGUUAUUUGUUUGGUAUAGUAAAAUGGUUAUGGGUAAAAGAGUAUUAAUAUUUGUGCUGUAUUGCUUGUGCAGAAUCAGUGGCAAUAUUUCAUUAAAACCAGUAAAUCAUGAUGGAAAUGAUGUCGGAUUUCGCGACGCAAAACAAUUACUAAUUUUUUUGUAUCCACGCCUACCUUCCGAUCUUUCGGCCAAAUCACAUCUAGAAAUAGAAAGCCCUGAAGACAUGGAAGUCAGCAAAUCUGUCAGCGACAUAGUAGAACCUCAGAAUCAAGUAUCUGAAGAAUCAGACCCGGAUCAGACUGCGAUGCUGAGGAUAUGGCCUGUUUCUUGCGAUAGAAGAGGUGUAAUUCUUUGCAGAAAGGCU